rnacentral:lncRNA from 1 species
GUUCUUUGGUAUCCCUUAUAGUAUAAAUAUUUGGAAGAGCCCGAUGAAGGCGUGGGGUGUGCUCUUAGAUGAUUUUCCUUGGCAGUUAGGGGCUGGAAAUUCUUCUUUCUCGUUCACUAAUUUGUCAUGCCUUGAACCUCUCUUGGAACCUUUGUUGACUAUGUUCAUGUUUCUAAUUUUGAUUUGCAUGUUAGAAAUGUUUGAGAUCAUGGGAGUUGGCUUUUGGAUAAUCUUGUGACUCCCAUUCCUGUUGUGUUGUGACAACAACUCCUUUUUNNN